rnacentral:lncRNA from 1 species
GUACACGUCAGGGCUUCAAAGAGACACCGGGCGCGGUCCGUCGGUCUCCUGAUCCGGGCCGUUCAGAUAGGGCCCUAGCAGCCCCUGCUCCUUCUUAUCUCAAGCCCCCACCAACCGCUCCCGCCCGGAGGUCAGCCUCUUGCCCUGCAAAGCCCCUCCUUCUUCUUCCUCCGCCAUUUUCCAGCUUACUCACUCCGGCCCGGGUGAACCUCGCUUAGCGCCGCAGCCACCCGGGGCUUCCAACACGGUCCAGCCACUUCCCCAAGCAUCUGUUUUUCAGGGAGGUGGAGCCAAGAUGGCGUCAGAGUAAGGCGCUCCUGGAAUCAACUUGUGAAAGAGGGCAGUUGGUGGUCACCCAGAGCUACCUAAAGCACCUGUUUGGAGAACCCAGGAGACUGGAGGAGUAUCCUACAGCAUCCUUGAGAGUGUGGAAGGAGGAGACUGCCCAUCUGCACAGAGGAAUUGUGCGUAGAGUACUCCACGCUGUGGAGGUCGGUGCCCAUGGUGUGCAAGCUCCCUUGGGAACUAUUCCGUGGUUGGUGUUGGAAGUUCCAUUUCCCCCAAUAAAAACAGAUGGAAAACAUGGUGUGGCACUGACUUCAGCUACUGAUUAGUGGAUUUGGCGGGCUGAAGUAGAAUCCUAGUAACAACUAAAGUUUGAGCCUGUCCAGGUCAGAGGGAAGCCGGUGGCUGCCAUUCUAACUCCGCCCCAG